rnacentral:rRNA from 1 species
UGGAACGGGACGCCAUAGAGGGUGAGAGCCCCGUCUGGUUGGAUGCCAAAUCUCUGUAAAGUUCCUUCAACGAGUCGAGUAGUUUGGGAAUGCUGCUCUAAAUGGGAGGUAUAUGUCUUCUAAAGCUAAAUACCGGCCAGAGACCGAUAGCGCACAAGUAGAGUGAUCGAAAGAUGAAAAGCACUUUGAAAAGAGAGUUAAAAAGUACGUGAAAUUGUUGAAAGGGAAGCGUUUAUGACCAGACUUGGNCUUGGUUAAUCAUCUGGGGNUCUCCCCAGUGCACUUUUCCAGUCCAGGCCAGCAUCAGUUUUCCCCGGGGGAUAAAGGCGGCG